rnacentral:rRNA from 1 species
ACCCGCUGAACUUAAGCAUAUCAAUAAGCGGAGGAAAAGAAACCAACAGGGAUUGCUCUAGUAACGGCGAGUGAAGCAGCAAUAGCUCAAAUUUGAAAUCUGGCGUCUUCGACGUCCGAGUUGUAAUUUGUAGAGGAUGCUUCUGAGUGGCCACCGACCUAAGUUCCUUGGAACAGGACGUCAUAGAGGGUGAGAAUCCCGUAUGCGGUCGGAAAGGCGCUCUAUACGUAGCUCCUUCGACGAGUCGAGUUGUUUGGGAAUGCAGCUCUAAAUGGGAGGUAAAUUUCUUCUAAAGCUAAAUAUUGGCCAGAGACCGAUAGCGCACAAGUAGAGUGAUCGAAAGAUGAAAAGCACUUUGGAAAGAGAGUUAAAAAGCACGUGAAAUUGUUAAAAGGGAAGGGAUUGCAGCCAGACUUGCUCGCGGUGUUCCGCCGGUCUUCUGACCGGUCUACUCGCCGCGUUGCAGGCCAGCAUCGUCUGGUGCCGCUGGAUAAGACUUGAGGAAUGUAGCUCCCUCGGGAGUGUUAUAGCCUCUUGUGAUGCAGCGAGCGCCGGGCGAGGUCCGCGCUUCGGCUAGGAUGCUGGCGUAAUGGUCGUAAUCCGCCCGUCUUGAAACACGGACCAAGGAGUCUAACAUCUAUGCGAGUGUUCGGGUGUCAAACCCCUACGCGUAAUGAAAGUGAACGGAGGUGAGAACCGCAAGGUGCAUCAUCGACCGAUCCUGAUGUCUUCGGAUGGAUUUGAGUAAGAGCAUAGCUGUUGGGACCCGAAAGAUGGUGAACUAUGCCUGAAUAGGGUGAAGCCAGAGGAAACUCUGGUGGAGGCUCGCAGCGGUUCUGACGUGCAAAUCGAUCGUCAAAUUUGGGUAUAGGGGCGAAAGACUAAUCGAACCAUCUAGUAGCUGGUUCCUGCCGAAGUUUCCCU